UCUCCGUUGGUGAACCAGCGGAGGGAUCAUUGCUGGAACGCGCCCCCGGCGCACCCAGAAACCCUUUGUGAACUCAUACCUACUGUUGCCUCGGCGCAGGCCGGCCUCCCCUGACGGAGGCCCCCCGGAGACGGGGAGCAGCCCGCCGGCGGCCAACCAAACUCUUGUUUCUACAGUGAAUCUCUGAGUAAAAAAACAUAAAUGAAUCAAAACUUUCAACAACGGAUCUCUUGGUUCUGGCAUCGAUGAAGAACGCAGCGAAAUGCGAUAAGUAAUGUGAAUUGCAGAAUUCAGUGAAUCAUCGAAUCUUUGAACGCACAUUGCGCCCUCUGGUAUUCCGGAGGGCAUGCCUGUUCGAGCGUCAUUUCAACCCUCAAGCCUGGCUUGGUGAUGGGGCACUGCCUUCGUGACGAGGGCAGGCCCUGAAAUCUAGUGGCGAGCUCGCCAGGACCCCGAGCGUAGUAGUCAUAUCUCGCUCCGGAAGGCCCUGGCGGUGCCCUGCCGUUAAACCCCCCAACUUCUGAAAAUUUGACCUCGGAUCAGGUAGGAAUACCCGCUGAACUUAA
rnacentral:rRNA from 1 species